AGCGGCGAACGGGUGAGUAACACGUUGGUAUCUGCCCCCAAGUCAGGGAUAGCCAUUGGAAACGAUGAUUAAUACCGGAUAGUCUCUUCGGAGUAAAAAUUUAUCGCUUGGGGAGGAACCUGCGGUCUAUCAGCUAGUUGGUGAGGUAAUAGCUCACCAAGGCUAUGACGGAUACCUGGUCUGAGAGGAUGAUCAGGCACAAUGGAACUGAGACACGGUCCAU
rnacentral:rRNA from 1 species